AUACAUAGGUUAACGAGGCGAACCGGGGGAACUGAAACAUCUAAGUACCCCGAGGAAAAGAAAUCAACCGAGAUUCCCCCAGUAGCGGCGAGCGAACGGGGAGCAGCCCGGAGUCUGAAUCAGCUUGUGUGUUAGUGGAACGGUCUGGAAAGUCCGACGGUACAGGGUGAUAGUCCCGUACACGAAAGCACACAUGCUGUGAACUCGAAGAGUAGGGCGGGACACGUGGUAUCCUGUCUGAAUAUGGGGGGACCAUCCUCCAAGGCUAAAUACUCCUGACUGACCGAUAGUGAACCAGUACCGUGAGGGAAAGGCGAAAAGAACCCCGGCGAGGGGAGUGAAAAAGAACCUGAAACCGUGUACGUACAAGCAGUGGGAGCCUCUUUAUGGGGUGACUGCGUACCUUUUGUAUAAUGGGUCAGCGACUUAUAUUCUGUAGCAAGGUUAACCGUAUAGGGGAGCCGAAGGGAAACCGAGUCUUAACUGGGCGUUAAGUUGCAGGGUAUAGACCCGAAACCCGGUGAUCUAGCCAUGGGCAGGUUGAAGGUUGGGUAACACUAACUGGAGGACCGAACCGACUAAUGUUGAAAAAUUAGCGGAUGACCUGUGGCUGGGGGUGAAAGGCCAAUCAAACCGGGAGAUAGCUGGUUCUCCCCGAAAGCU
rnacentral:rRNA from 1 species